rnacentral:rRNA from 1 species
AGAGUUUGAUCCUGGCUCAGAACGAACGCUGGCGGCGUGGAUAAGACAUGCAAGUCGAGCGGGAUUUUUUCCUGUAGCAAUAUAGGGAAAGGUCUAGCGGCGAACGGGUGCUUAACACGUGGGCAAUCUGCCGAGAAGUGGGGGAUAGCUCGCCGAAAGGCGAAUUAAUACCGCAUGUGAUCAGAGUGGACAUCCAUUCAAAAUUAAAGUCGGGGCAACCUGACGCUUCUUGAGGAGCCCGCGGCCUAUCAGCUAGUUGGUGAGGUAACGGCCCACCAAGGCUUUGACGGGUAGCUGGUCUGAGAGGACGACCAGCCACACUGGGACUGAGACACGGCCCAGACACCUACGGGUGGCAGCAGUCGAGAAUUUUUCUCAAUGGGGGAAACCCUGAAGGAGCGACGCCGCGUGGAGGAUGAAGGUCUUCGGAUUGUAAACUUCUGUCAUUGGGGAACAAGGUGCAUACGUUAACUGCGUGUGCAUUGAUAGUACCCGAAGAGGAAGAGACGGCUAACUCUGUGCCAGCAGCCGCGGUAAUACAGAGGUCUCAAGCGUUGUUCGGAUUCAUUGGGCGUAAAGGGUGCGUAGGCGGCGCGGUAAGUCGGGUGUGAAAUCUUGGAGCUUAACUCCGAAACUGCAUUCGAUACUGCCGUGCUUGAGGACUGGAGAGGAGACUGGAAUUUACGGUGUAGCGGUGAAAUGCGUAGAUAUCGUAAGGAAGACCAGUGGCGAAGCGGGUCUCUGGACAGUUCCUGACGCUGAGGCACGAAAGCCAGGGGAGCAAACGGGAUUAGAUACCCCGGUAGUCCUGGCAGUAAACGGUGCACGUUUGGUGUGGAGGAUUCGACCCCUUCUGCGCCGGAGCUAACGCGUUAACGUGCCGCCUGGGAAGUACGGUCGCAGAUUUAAAACUCAAAGAAAUUGACGGGGCCCGCACAGCCGUG